UACAGAGGUCCCAAGCGUUGUUCGGAUUCACUGGGCGUAAAGGGUGCGUAGGCGGUUGGGUAAGUCUGACGUGAAAUCUACAGGCUCAACUUGUAGUCUGCACGAGAAACUGCCGGGCUUGAGUAUGGGAGAGGUGAGUGGAAUUCCUGGUGUAGCGGUGAAAUGCGUAGAUAUCAGGAGGAACACCUGUGGCGAAAGCGGCUCACUGGACCAUAACUGACGCUGAUGCACGAAAGCUAGGGGAGCAAACAGG
rnacentral:rRNA from 1 species